GAUGAACGCUGACAGAAUGCUUAACACAUGCAAGUCUACUUGAAGUAACUUCGGUUAUGGAUGGUGGCGGACGGGUGAGUAACGCGUAAAUAACUUGCCCCCUAGUCUGGGACAACUGUUGGAAACGACAGCUAAUACUAGAUAUUAUGAGAUCUUGGCAUCAAGGACUUAUGAAAGCUAUAUGCGCUAGGGGAGAGAUUUGCGUCCUAUUAGCUAGUUGGUGAGGUAAUGGCUCACCAAGGCGACGAUAGGUAGCCGGCCUGAGAGGGUGAACGGCCACAAGGGGACUGAGACACGGCCCUUACUCCUACGGGAGGCAGCAGUGGGGAAUAUUGGACAAUGGGCGAAAGCCUGAUCCAGCAAUGCCGCGUGAGUGAUGAAGGCCUUAGGGUUGUAAAGCUCUUUCAGCAGGGAAGAAGCGAAAGUGACGGUACCUGCAGAAGAAGCACCGGCUAACUACGUG
rnacentral:rRNA from 1 species